CGACGACGACGACGACGACGACGACGACGGCGACGACGACGACGACGACGGCGACGACGACGACGACGGCGGCGACGACGACGACGACGACGACGACGACGGCGGCGACGACGACGUCUAAGCCAUAGACGGCUUGGCUCGUGGGCACGUCUCAGCCGCCAUCGAGUACUGACACGAGUGCGCUAGUGCUGCGCUCUGGCGGAUCGCGUCGUCGAUCGGAACCAACGGACGCAACCAAUCAAACCUUCCUUCGAAUUUUCUCUUGUUCGUUCCAACCUCCGCGAUCAUCGCAUUCUUAACAUCGAAUUAUUUUAAUAUUGUGAAUUAAUUCAGUCAAAAGGACUUUUCUUUUUCCUUUUUUCUUCUUUUUCUUUCUUCUUUUCCGUUAAUUUAUUCAUUUCUAUUCAUUUCUAUCAAUGUAUAAUAAUCUUGUCAGAAAUUCAAAAUUUCUUUUUUUCGACGACCGAUUCAAAUUAUUUAGAAAUCAUUUAUGAACCUGUCAUAUCAGUUUUAUCUAAUAUCGUUUUAUUUAUAGUUUCGAAUAAUUUAUAUAUAAUCGCAUUGUUUCUCAGAAUGCUAUUUAAUACGAUAUUGAUGAAUCCUCGUGAUUGUUCAAAUACAACCAAUCAAAUCUUAAAUACGUCGGAAGACAUCGAUAAUUGCGAAGAAUAAUAUGCCAGAAGAGUUAAACAUAUUUGCAUCUGUGGAUUUUCGCAUAACAAGCCAAUAACUGCUCAGGCUGGAACGAUUAUCGUACAUUGAUAUAUUUUAAUAUCAGAGAAUUAGUGACUGAGUUUUAAUAACAUUGGAAUAUUUGGAAGAAAAGAUUUGAUGAGAUUCGUUGCAGAAAUACCAGGGAAGGAAGAAGAAUUAGUACAUGUAGUUGAAUAUUAUAUGCAACAUUUUAUAACAAUGAAUAAUUCUAAUGUACUUUAUAAUUUCUACUGCGACUAUAAAAUACAAUAAAGCAAUGGAUACUAAGCUUGACGUGCUCAGUGGACAUCUAAGAGUUAAGGAGCGUCAAAUUUGAUAAUAAUAAUGAUUUUAUUAAGACGUAUUCUACUUAAAAGGGUAUUCAAAAUUUUAUUAUAAAAGUACAAAAAAUCUAGCGCAAUAGAGUCUAAGUUGGAUAGAAUCCUAAAAAGUAAAAUAUAAGAUAAGAUAUAAAUUCAUUUAUAUAUGGCGAAAGAGAUUAUAGCCGUAUAUAUAUAUAUAUAUAUAUAUAUAUAUAUAUAUAUAUAUAUAUUUGUAGCCACAUAUAAACAAGAGAA